GCUGAAAUAGCACAAUCGGUAGUGCAGCUGAAUCGUAAUCAGCAGGUUGCGGGUUCAAGUCCUGUUUUCAGCA
rnacentral:tRNA from 1 species